CAAGUCGAACGGAGUUAUGAGAUAGCUUGCUAUUGAGUAACUUAGUGGCGGACGGGUGAGUAACGCGUGAGUAACCUGCCUCUUAGAGGGGGAUAACGUUCUGAAAAGAACGCUAAUACCGCAUAUAAUUACGAAAUCGCAUGGUUUGUAAUGAAAGGAGCAAUCCGCUAAGAGAUGGACUCGCGUCUGAUUAGCUUGAUGGUGAGGUAACGGCUCACCAUGGCGACGAUCAGUAGCCGGACUGAGAGGUUGAACGGCCACAUUGGGACUGAGACACGGCCCAGACUCCUACGGGAGGCAGCAGGUGGGGGAUAUUACGCAAUGGGGGAAACCCUGACGUAGCAAUGCCGCGUGAAGGAAGAAGGUUUUCGGAUUGUAAACUUCUUUUGUCAGGGACGAUAAUGACGGUACCUGACGAAUAAGCUCCGGCUAACUACGUGCCAGCAGCCGC
rnacentral:rRNA from 1 species